rnacentral:tRNA from 1 species
GACCAGUGGCUCAAUGGUUAGAGCGUUGGCCAGGGCACCUAAGGGUCCCAGGUUUAAUCCCUGGCCCUGGUCG